GAUGAAGAACGUAGCGAAAUGCGAUAAGUAAUGUCAAUUGCAGAAUUCAGUGAAUCAUCGAAUCUUUGAACGCACAUUGCGCCCGGUAGUAUUCUGCCGGGCAUGCCUGUUCGAGCGUCAUUUCAACCAUCAAGCCCCAGCGCUUGUGUUGGGGGCCUGCGGCUGCCGCAGCCCCCUAAAAGCAGUGGCGGGCUCGCUAUCACACCGAGUGCAGUAGUUCAUCUUCUCUCCGGUCUUGUGAGGCGGGUUCCGGCCGUGAAACACCCCACUACAUUCAAGGUUGACCUCGGAUCAGGUAGGAAUACCCGCUGAACUUAAGCAUAUCAAUAAGCGGAGGA
rnacentral:misc_RNA from 1 species